UUUUUUUUCUACUUCUAUUUUCCUUUUAGCUCUUUGUAAUAAUCUUGGUGCACAUAUUGAUAGGAAAACGGGUCUAGCUGGGUUUGCAAGCAGAGGAAAAGGAACUCAGGGCUGGUGGGUAUAUUCUACAAGACCCAAGAAAUCUCUGGAGGAAGCACAUGUGGGGAGGACAGCGGGCAAAAUUCUAUUAUUAACCUCCUGAAGGAGAAAGUGGAGAGGCAAUAUCACGUGGAACAACAUCUCAGCAAAGGCUACAAGAAGAAGGAGAGUGUAAGUGUUUGGGGGAAGAGAAAAUUAUGAAGCUUGGGGCCAGUAAUCUACUGUUGGAGUGCGUGAGGGAUAGUUUUCUCUUGCAAUCACCUGGAUCCAUUUGGGUAUUUGACUAAAAAUCUGCUGCCAUUGAUUGUUCCGUUUUUUGUUUGUUUAAUUUCUGGUGAUGGAGUAAGCAAUCACAAAACCAAGCCAGAUUGAAGUGAAUAUGUGAUAAGGUAAGCUGAUACAAGCCAGGCACACUCAAAAUAUACAAAUUCUACUCUAAUUUCCAAGUCUACUACUCAAUACUCAUCUAUCAUUCUCAUAAAAUUAACCCCAUUAAGUG
rnacentral:misc_RNA from 1 species